UUGCCCCCCCCUUUGCUCCCCUCUUUUGCCUCUUUCGUUGCUCCCCUUUGCUGCCCAGGGAGGUGGUGGAGUGGCCGUGGCUGGAGGUUUUGAAGCCAAGCCUGGCUGGGGCUCUUAGUGCCAUGGUCUGGUUCAGUGGCCAGGGCUGGGUGCUAGGUUGGACUGGGUGAGCUUGGAGCUCUCUUCCAGCCUGCUUGAUUCCAUGAUUCUAAGGAGAUCUUGUCAUGGAGGGUAGCAGAAGCCCUUAGCAGGGCUCCCUGCUGUAAAAGUUGCAGUGUCUCACAUUUUAAGCCAGAAGCAUCGUAAACCAAAACAGUCCUUCAGCCCCAUGAGAAAGUCUCUCCCUAGUCGAGAUAAAGGUAAACAAUGGCCACUGUUUUGGCUAGGGGGAACGGCAGUUCUCAUGCCCGCUCGACACCUGGUGUGGGCCGAGCUUUGGGUGGUCCUACAGGUUGUUUUGGUAAGAACUGUCCAAUUAUAUAGGUUAAUUGUAAUUUUGUGCCAAUCUGCAAGAAUAACGUAAAAUAGCCUGGACUGGAGGCUUACACCUCUUUUGAACAUUAUAAAAAUGGUGUGCCUUCCUGGAUCGGGGCGCUUGCUGGCUUGAGCUUGCUGGUAUUUGCUCCUACCGCUCGCUCGCUAGCCUGCCUGCCUGCCUCGCUCCUGCCGCGGUGCCCUCACGUUCCUGAUCGGCCCUGCCCGACGAGGGGCUCGCAGAGGCCUGAAACCUGCUUGGGCCCGACCCUGACGAACAAAGGGACACCGCCCAAAACCUUCGAACUUUGCUGAACUGAACUACGAACAGUGAGUAAAUUGGAGGAAGAACUCUUUACCUAAAGACUGAGUAACUUUAAAGACUCAAAGGAACUCUAAAGAAAUCACAGACUCUCUUUUAUCUGCCAUUUUCUGAACUGUUAUUUUACAACUUCAAUCCAAAAGAACUCACGUGGCGAAUUUAGUUCGGGAGGGGGAUCUCCGUGUUUGAGCAAUAAAUCACUUGAAAAUCCACAAGUGAGUCUCCGCAUAUUUUCCCCACAACCUCCCAAACUACCUUCCUUGACAGAUCUCCCAUGUCCCACCCUAGCUGGAAAACAUCUCCCAUGCGCCAGUCUGGUUGGAUGCUCUCUCGAUGAGACUUCGGGGUUUGAUUUGUUCGAUUUCUCACCUGGCUUUUUAGCCAAAUCUCUCCCUGGUCAGAUUUGGUGCCAUUUGUUUGUUUUGCACUCCUUCUUCUACCCCCGCAGCACCUGAAGUCAAUUGAAGUCUCCUCCCACCCCAGCUGUGGCCACUUUGCCCUCCCUGCUCAGUGCCCUUUAUAAGCACUGCAGGAGGAGCCCAGCCCUGCCCGACAUCCCAGGAUGUUGUGGGUGUUCUUUUCUCUUUUACAGAGAAUGAAGAUUAUGGAGGGGAAACUGAGGUGACUUCAGAGCAGAGAAGUGAUAUUUUGGAGGAAAAAGCUGAACAGGUCUAUUGGGAAGGAAGCAAAAACUCUGGAGGAAAAAUGUGAGGUAAACAAGAGGACACAAGUGACAUUUUGUAGGGGAAAAAAGUGAGUUAGUCUCUAGGGGAUAAAAAUGAAGACUGUAGGAGGGAAAAGCUGAGGUGAUUGGGUGGAACAGAGCUGACAUGAUGCAUGAAAAAACUUAGGGUAACCCAUAGGGGAGACCAUGACCAUUUUGGAGGGAAAUCCUGAGGUAGGUGAGGGUAUGUGGGUAACAUAUUAAAAGAGAGACCUAAGGUAGUGUCUGUGAAACAAGAUACUCUUGUGUCACCAGAGUUAUAGUCAGAGGCGACUCCCUUUGGCCAGAGUACCUUGCUCACCUCCCAUUCUCCAGCCCGAUGCGGAUCCUCUUUGCGAUGUGUCUUGCUUAGCGAUUCCAUGCCACGCCUCUUCCACCAUCAGUGUCAGCUGCUGCUGAGGAAGAAGGAUAGACUUAGGCUUCAGUAGCACCUCCUCCUCCAUGCCCGAGGAAAACAGGGACCUCCCCAGAGGCACCAUCCCUAGUUGGGGAAAGGGAUCAACCUGGUCCCCGAGCCCCCCCUGUAAGCGGGGUAGGGUCCUUUCCGCAGCCCCGGCAGCUUGUCAGCUGUGGGCUGCCUGUGCAGCGUGACCCCCUGUACUCGGGGCGUGUCGCGGCUUUUGUCCUUUGGCCGCCCCUGAGGGCCUUUGGUGUCCCGAGGCUUCCCUGAGCUCCACAGAGUCUGGUGCGGCCAAGUCUGACCCUCUUCUCUCCUGCUGCGGGGUAAGGAUGACUGUCCCAUCGGUGGCUGCCCAGAGCUUGCUCCCUCUCCUGGGAAGAGAUGUGCGUAUGGCCCCCUCCCUUGCCUCUGUGUGUGUGUGCUUGUGUGCCUGAGCGUGCUUGUGGUGUAGGUUGCUGUGAAAAGUGCUGUAGCUUAGCUUAGGCUUCCCAGGAGGGAAAGAGGGGCUCUGGGCAGUAACAGGGGAGUCUCCUCGGAGUGCCCGAGCGGAGUGGGAGCUCAGCUUGUCCUGCAGGGACAGAGCGUAGGCCCUGUUGUUGAGGGCCUGGGUGUGUGCCUCCGUGGCAGCCUGUCCUGUUGUCAAGGUGGCAUCUCAAGGGCCCUGUAGUCGGGGCCUGUGUGAUGAGCUGUGGAGCCUUGUGUCCCUGUGUGUCGCCAGCAGCGGCCCGAGGUCCCGGUGAGCAGGUCCUAGGAGGCUGUUUUGGGCAGCUGAGUGGAGCGCACGUUCCUGGGCCCUUAGAGGGUGGAGGUGGCUCCCUGGGCUCCUGAAGAGGUGUUGCUGUGCUGCAGGCAGGUGGGCCGUCCCGUAAGUUGGGCGCAGUCCGGAGCCCGCGGCUCCGUAGGCGUUUUUGGGAGUGCCGAGGCGAGAGCGGCCGCCCUGUAAGUGGGGCUGUGCGUCGCGGUGCCCGGCGGGAGGUUGGAGGGAACCCCCCUGUAA